rnacentral:rRNA from 1 species
UGAAUACGAGACGCUAAGGCGUCGAAGUAGUGUAUGUCAUACUUCCAAGAAAAGCUUGCACUGUCAUAAGUAAAAAAUGCCUGUACCAUAACCGACACAGGUGGGUAGGUAGAGUAUACUAAGGGGCGCGAGAUAACUCUCUCUAAGGAACUCGGCAAAAUAACUCCGUAACUUCGGGAGAAGGAGUACCUUAUUCUAUAAGGUUGCAAUAACAAGAUCCAAGCAACUGUUUAUCAAAAACACAGGUCUCCGCUAAGUCGUAAGACGAUGUAUGGGGGCUGACGCCUGCCCAGUGCCAGAAGGUUAAAGAAGUCGGAUAGCAUUAGCGAAGCUGGUAACUGAAGCCCUGGUGAACGGCGGCCGUAACUAUAACGGUCCUAAGGUAGCGAAAUUCCUUGUCGGGUAAGUUCCGACCCGCACGAAAGGCGUAAUGAUUUGGAUACUGUCUCGGAGAGGGGCUCGGUGAAAUAGACUUGUCUGUGAAGAUGCGGACUACCUGCACCAGGACAGAAAGACCCUAUGAAGCUUUACUGUAACUUGAAAUUGAAAUUGGACUUUAUUCGCGCAGUAUAGGUGGGAGGUGUUGAUUAUAAUCUUGCGGGAUUAUUGGAGCCAUCAGUGAGAUACCACUCUUGUAAUGUUAGAUUUCUAACUUUGAAUCGUUAUCUGGUCAAAGGACAGUUUCAGGCGGGCAGUUUGACUGGGGCGGUCGCCUCCCAAACGGUAACGGAGGCGUACAAAGGUUUCCUCUGAACGGGUAGAAAUCGUAUCUAGAGUGUAAAGGCAUAAGGAAGCUUGACUGUGAGACCUACAAGUCGAACAGGGACGAAAGUCGGUCUUAGUGAUCUGACGGUACUGAGUGGAAAGGCCGUCACUCAACGGAUAAAAGUUACUCUAAGGAUAACAGGCUGAUCUCCCCCAAGAGUUCACAUCGACGGGGAGGUUUGGCACCUCGAUGUCGGCUCAUCGCAUCCUGGGGCGGUAGUACGUCCCAAGGGUUGGGCUGUUCGCCCAUGAAAGCGGUACGCGAGCUGGGUUCAGAACGUCGUGAGACAGUUCGGUCCAUAUCCGGUGUAGGCGUUAGAAUAUUGAGAGGAGCCUUCUUUAGUACGAGAGGACCGAGAAGGACAUACCUCUGGUGUACCAGUUAUCGUGCCAACGGUAAACGCUGGGUAGCUAUGUAUGGAGUGGAUAACCGCUGAAAGCAUCUAAGUGGGAAGCCCACCUCAAGAUGAGUGCUCUCACAGGGUUAACCUGGUAAGGUCACGGGAAGACCACCCGUUAAUAGGCACUAGGUGGAAGUCCAGUAAUGGAUGGAGCCAAGGUGUACUAACAGACCGAGGGCUCGACC